GACAUAGGUGGCGAACGUUAUCCGGAAUUAUUGGGCGUAAAGGAUGCGUAGAUGGCAGAAUAAGUUACUGGUCGAUGCCAAACUCAAUUUGACGGAAGCUGGUAAUACUGUUCUGCUAGAGGGCAGGAGAGGUUGAUGGAAUUCUGUGUGGAGCGGUGAAAUGCGUUGAUAUCAGAAGGAACGCCGGUGGCGAAAGCGACGAACUGGACCUCUUCUGACGCUGAGGCGCGAAAGCUAGGGGAGCAAACGGG
rnacentral:rRNA from 1 species